rnacentral:tRNA from 1 species
CAGCAGCUAGUCCAACCAAGACAACUAAUUUCGACCUAGUAAAUCUCGACCCACCCGAGGCUGCUAA